rnacentral:rRNA from 1 species
UACGUAGGCAGCAAGCGUUGUUCGGAGUUACUGGGCGUAAAGGGCGUGUAGGCGGUUCUUUAAGUUUGUUGUGAAAUCUCCCGGCUUAACCGGGAGGGUGCGGUGAAUACUGAGGGACUAGAGUACGGGAGAGGAAAGUGGAAUUCCUGGUGUAGCGGUGAAAUGCGUAGAUAUCAGGAGGAACACCGGUGGUGUAGACGGCUUUCUGGACCGACACUGACGCUGAGACACGAAAGCGUGGGUAGCAAACAGG